rnacentral:rRNA from 1 species
AGGACGAACGCUGGCGGCGUGCUUAACACAUGCAAGUCGAGCGGAAAGGCCCUUCGGGGUACUCGAGCGGCGAACGGGUGAGUAACACGUGAGCAAUCUGCCCUUAGCUCCGGGAUAGCUCCGGGAAACCGGAAUUAAUACCGGAUACGACCACAGCCGACAUCUGCUGUGGUGGAAAGGAUUCCGGCUAAGGAUGGGCUCGCGGCCUAUCAGCUAGUUGGUGGAGUAACGGCCCACCAAGGCGACGACGGGUA